GCCAGACUCCUACGGGAGGCAGCAGUGGGGAAUAUUGCACAAUGGGGGAAACCCUGAUGCAGCGACGCCGCGUGAGUGAAGAAGUAUUUCGGUAUGUAAAGCUCUAUCAGCAGGAACGAGACAAGACGGUACCUGACUAAGAAGCCCCGGCUAACUACGUGCCAGUAGCCGCGGUAAUACGUAGGGGGCAAGCGUUAUCCGGAAUCACUGGGUGUAAAGGGAGCGUAGACGGCUGUGCAAGCCUGAAGUGAAAGGCGGGGGCCCAACCCCCGGACUGCUUUGGGAACUGUACGGCUGGAGUGCAGGAGAGGUAAGUGGAAUUCCUAGUGUAGCGGUGAAAUGCGUAGAUAUUAGGAGGAACACCAGUGGCGAAGGCGGCUUACUGGACUGUAACUGACGUUGAGGCUCGAAAGCGUGGGGAGCAAACAGGAUUAGAUACCCCGGUA
rnacentral:rRNA from 1 species